UACAGAGGUCCCAAGCGUUUUUCGGAUUCACUGGGCGUAAAGGGUGCGUAGGUGGCAUGUUAAGUUUGAUGUGAAAGCUCAGGGCUCAACCCUGAAAUGGCAUUGAAUACUAGCGUGCUGGAGGUUUGGAGGGGGGAAUGGAAUUCUUGGUGUAGCAGUGAAAUGCGUAGAUAUCAAGAGGAACACCAGUGGCGAAGGCGAGUCCCUGGACAACACCUGACACUGAGGCACGAAAGCCGGGGGAGCAAACAGG
rnacentral:rRNA from 1 species